CCGAGUGAGGGCCCUCUGGGUCCAACCUCCCACCCGUGUUUAUCGUACCUUGUUGCUUCGGCGGGCCCGCCGCAAGGCCGCCAGGGGGCGUCCGUCCCCGGGCCCGCGCCCGCCGAAGACACCUGUGAACGCUGUCUGAAGAUUGCAGUCUGAGCGAAUAGUUAAAUUGUUA
rnacentral:misc_RNA from 1 species